rnacentral:rRNA from 1 species
GCUCCAAUAGCAUAUAUUAAAGUUGUUGCAGUUAAAAAGCUCGUAGUUGGAUUUCAAGAUACGCAUCUGGGAAACCAGUAUGCUUUCUACCAGUCUUUGACUGUUACUGUGAGAAAAUUAGAGUGUUUCAAGCAGGCAAUUGCAGGAAUACAUUAGCAUGGAAUAACGAAUGUGUCUACAAUUUGGUUGAUUGUAGUCUA